rnacentral:rRNA from 1 species
AGCAGCCGCCGCGGGAAAACGGAGGGUGCAAGCGUUGUCCGGAUUUAUUGGGUUUAAAGGGUGCGUAGGCGGCCUAAUAAGUCAGUGGUGAAAGCCUCCAGCUUAACUGGAGAACUGCCAUUGAUACUGUUAGGCUUGAGUAUACUUGAGGUAGGCGGAAUUGACAGUGUAGCGGUGAAAUGCAUAGAUAUUGUCAAGAACACCAAUUGCGAAGGCAGCUUACUAAAUUAUAACUGACGCUGCGGCACGAAAGUGUGGGUAUCAAACAGGAUUAGAUACCCCAGUAGUCCCUGUCUCUUAUAC